ensembl:lncRNA
UUUUUUUUUUUCCUAUGUCUUUUGUCUUUUUAGGGCUGCACCCGUGGCAUAUGGAGGUUCCCAGGCUAGGCGUCCAAUCGGAGCUGAAGCCACUGGCCUACACCACAGCCACAGCCAUGCCAGAUCCAAGCCGUGUCUGCCACCUACACCACAGCUCACGGCAACGCCAGAUCCUUAACCCACUGAGCGAGGCCAGGGAUCAAACCCGAGUCCUCAUGAUGCUAGUCAGGUUUGCUAACUACUGAGCCACGAUGGGAACUCCAAGUCACAUAUUUAUUUUCACGCAGUUAAUUCUAACUGGACAGUUGGUGCUGCCAGGCCCAGUUGGCGAUUUCAGAAAUCAGUAUUUACCCGAUCUUAUAGCUUCCACCAGAAACACCACAAAAUCACCAGUUUAAUCAUGUAUGUGGCUAUCUCAGUUCACGUUCAGGAAACAGUUACUUUUUUAAAACUGUGGUUUAAAAAAUAACAUUAAAUUGAAACUGAUGCUUUUUGAUUCAAUAAGAAGCAUGUGACUUUUCUAAGAAAGGCCAUUUAUAUUCUCAGAUUCCCCAAAGAUAGAGCCACCUCAUUGUAUAUGGAAGAUGCUUUGUUCUCCAAACUGUAAAACCAGGACCACUCGCUGCACAGACACCUGCUCCACUGCAACAUCCACUUCCUUUCCCGGCACGACCAAACCACAGGGCCAGGCUUCUAGUUCUGUUCGAGAUCUGCACCCAUCACGGAACUGGAGCUCUAAAAGGGGCCACCUGCAGUAGACCCAGCAUGAGUCAUUUAUUCUCUCAAUAUUAAUCAUAAAAGCAAGAGCAACAGAUAAUGCUGCCUGCCCACUUAUGAGAUGCCAAGCACUGUGCUGAAGGCACUCGGCACAAGUUAUCUCUUCUAACCCUCACCAUACCACUGUGCUAGGAGCCCUUGCACCCCAGCCCAAAGAUGGAUGAUGAAAGUGACACUUAGUAGGGCUGAGAGAAUCACCCAAAACCACACACCUGGAUGCUGCACACACAGAAUGCAAACUUGGAUUUCUCCAACUUCAGAGCCAAGCUCUUGACCAUCACACAACUCGCUGAAUUCCAGGCCCAGAGAGCUUUCCUGAUGCUGAACUCUCCCAAAUAUACGAAAAAUAAGUUAACCACAAUUCUCACCAGCAUCUUCCAGAAGACUAAAGAGGAGCGAACACUUACUGUCCAACUUAUUUUAUGAGGGCAGCAUUGUCCUUAUACCAAAAGCUGCCACAAACAUUAUAAAAACAAAAACUACAGAAUAAUAACUUUCAUGCAAAUGGAUGCAAACCUAAUCCAACAAUAUGAUCAAUGAUAAUUCAUCACCACCAAUUCAAGUUUAUUCCUGGAAUGCAAGGUAGUCACAGCUUUCAAAAAUCAAUCAAUGAAAUCAAUGAAAUCAAUGUAUUGACUGAAAAUAAACAUGACAGGAUAUGAAAAGAAAAAACCAGCACACACUUGGCAGCCCUCUGCUUUCCCGUCACAGAAAGCACAGCAAGGACCACCACUCUCAUCGCCUCCUGAGGGCAUGCUGGGUGUGUUCUGACUGGAGGGGAAGCUCCAAGGAGCUCUCGCAGACAGACCAACUGACCAACUGUAGCCAGCACUGGGCUAAGGAUGGCAGGAAUAUAGAAAGGAAGACAAAACAGAUCCCUGCCCCCAAGGGCUUUACCAUCGAACCUAUAUUGAUCUAAAUUAAUCCCUCUCUGAAAAAGACACAUGUACCCCUAUGUUCACUGCAGCACUGUUCACAGUAGCCAAGACAGGGAAACAACCUAAAUGUCCAUCGACGGAUGAAUGGAUUAAGAAGAUGUGGUACAUAUACACAACGGAAUACUGCUCAGCCAUAAAAAAGAACAAAAUAAUGCCAUUUGCAGCAACAUGGAUGGACCAAAAGAUUAUUAUACUGAGUGAAGUCAGAAAGAGAAAGACAAAUACCAUGUGAUAUCACUUAUAUCUGGAAUCUAAUAUACAGCACAAACAAACCUUUCCACAGAAAAGAAACCCAUGGACUUGGAGAACAGACUUGUGGUGGCCGAGAGGGAGGGGGGGGGAGUGGGGUGGCCUGGGAGUCUGGGGUUAAUAGAUUCAAACAAUUGCCUUUGGAAUGGAUAAGCAAUGAGAUCCUGCUGUAUAGCACUGGGAACUAUAUCUAGUCACUUAGGAUGGAGCAAGAUAAUGUGAGAAAAAGAAUGUGUAUGUGUGAUUGAAUCACUUUGUUGCACAGCAGAAAAUUGACAGAACACCAUAAACCAACCAUAAUGGAAAAAAUAAAAAUCAUUAAAAUUUGAAAAAAAGAAAAAAGUAAUUAAUCCCUCUCUCUCUAGGACAUUUUUGGCAUGAAAUGUAUUUCCAUCAUGAUCCUGGACAUACGCACACAUACUGGGCCUUACCAUGGGUGAUGCACUGAUACUUUUUAAUUCUCUCUUUUUUUAAAUUGAAGUAUAACUGAGCUCCAGUACCAUAUUAGUUCCAGGUAUACAAUAUACUGGUUCAAUAUUUUUAUAGAUUAUACUCCACUGAAAAUUAUUAUAAAAUAUUGCCUAUAUUCUCUGUGUGUACCAUAUAUCCUUGUUGCUUAUUUAUUUUAUUCAUAGGGUUUGUAUUUCCUAUAUUUUCUUUUCUUUUUUUUCUUUUUAGGGCUACACCUGUAGCACAGGGAAGUUCCCAGCCAAGGAGUCAAAUCAGAGCUGUGACUGGGGCCUACGCCACAGCCACAGCAAUGCUGGAUCCAAGCCACACCCUCGAACUAUGCUGCAGCUCAUAGCAACGCCAGAUCCUUAACCUACUGAGCAAGGCCAGGGAUCAAACCCACAACUUCACAGACACUAUGUCAGGUUCUUAACCUGUUGAGCC